GUAUUGCUUCGGUAAUACAUAUACUAAAAUUGGAACGAUACAGAGAAGAUUAGCAUGGCCCCUGCGCAAGGAUGACACGCAAAAUCGUGAAGCGUUCCACAUUUUU
rfam:Strigamia maritima strain Brora ctg7180001231046, whole genome shotgun sequence.